UACACUCCUACGGGAGGCAGCAGUGGGGAAUUUUGGACAAUGGGCGAAAGCCUGAUCCAGCAAUGCCGCGUGUGUGAAGAAGGCCUUCGGGUUGUAAAGCACUUUUGUCCGGAAAGAAAUCCUUGGCUCUAAUACAGUCGGGGGAUGACGGUACCGGAAGAAUAAGCACCGGCUAACUACGUGCCAGCAGCCGCGGUAAUACGUAGGGUGCGAGCGUUAAUCGGAAUUACUGGGCGUAAAGCGUGCGCAGGCGGUUUGCUAAGACCGAUGUGAAAUCCCCGGGCUCAACCUGGGAACUGCAUUGGUGACUGGCAGGCUAGAGUAUGGCAGAGGGGGGUAGAAUUCCACGUGUAGCAGUGAAAUGCGUAGAGAUGUGGAGGAAUACCGAUGGCGAAGGCAGCCCCCUGGGCCAAUACUGACGCUCAUGCACGAAAGCGUGGGGAGCAAACAGGAUUAGAUACCCUGGUAGUCCCAUGA
rnacentral:rRNA from 1 species